rnacentral:lncRNA from 1 species
AGUAGUAGUAGUAAUAGUAGUAGUAGUAGUAGUAGUAGUAGUAGUAGUAGUAGUAGUAGUAGAAGAAGAAGAAGAAGAAGAAGAACAAGAACAAGAUUGCAAGAAGAAGAAGAAGAAGAAGUAUAAGAAGAAGAAGAAGUAUAAGAAGAAGAAGAAGACUAGAAGAAGAAGAAGAAGAAGAAGAAGAAAGAGAAGGAAAAUAAUAAGAAGAA